GCUGACAGUGAUGAUGACAAUUUCGAUUAUACCAUGAGUACUUCAACUUUAGGGGAGAGGCUAGCUAUGCAAGAUAAUAAAGGAACGGAUAUUGAAUAAGAGGCUGAUCAAGUGCAUCAGGAGCAAGAAGUUUAGUGGAUUGGAAGAACACCAUGUUGAAGAGAAAUCAAGGAUGAUUACCGGCUUCUACAUACUUGAUUGGAUACUUGCCUUUCAUAAUAAAUAAAAACUUCGAUUGAAUUAAAUAUUUCUUAAGUACGAC